UAUUCUUAGUGCGCAUUGUACAUUGUCACAACAUAUGUGUCAGUUUGUCUAAUUGGUGAAGCUGCUCUUCGUUCACCAUCAAUAGAAUUUGACUAUACAUAUCUCAAAUAACAACGCAUCAACAUCUGUUACUAAAAAGUU
ensembl:ncRNA F52B10.7 ncRNA